AAAGGAAUUGACGGGCACCCGAACAAGCGGUGGAGCAUGCUGUUUAAUUCGAAGAUACGCGAAGAACCUUACCUAGACUUGACAUCCCGGGCAAAGCUAUAGAGAUAUAGUGGAGGUUAUCCCGGUGACAGGUGGUGCAUGGUUGUCGUCAGCUCGUGUCGUGAGAUGUUCGGUUAAGUCCGAUAACGAGCGCAACCCUUAUCAUUAGUUGCUAACAUUUAGUUGAGAACUCUAAUGAGACUGCCGGUGAUAAACCGGAGGAAGGCGGGGAUGACGUCAAAUCAUCAUGCCCCUUACGUCUAGGGCUACAGGCGUGCUACAAUGGCCGGUACAAAAAGACGCAAUACCGCGAGGUGGAGCAAAUCUCUAAAACCGGUCUCAGUUCGGAUUGGAGUCUGCAACUCGACUCCAUGAAGUUGGAAUCGCUAGUAAUCCUGAAUCAGAAUGUCAGGGUGAAUACGUUCCCGGGUGUUGUACACACCGCCCGU
rnacentral:rRNA from 1 species